UAAGCCAUGCAUGUCUAAGUAUAAACGCUUCUAUACUGUGAAACUGCGAAUGGCUCAUUAAAUCAGUUAUAGUUUAUUUGAUGGUUCCUUGCUACUUGGAUAACCGUAGUAAUUCUAGAGCUAAUACAUGCAGAAAGUCCCGACUUGCGGAAGGGAUGUAUUUAUUAGAUCCAAAACCAGUGCGAGUCCCCUUGCGGGUCUCGGUUGCUCGGUGAUUCAUGAUAACUGCUCGAAUCGCAGGGCCCUAGUGCCGGCGAUGAUCCAUUCAAAUUUCUGCCCUAUCAACUUUCGAUGGUACGGUAGUGGCCUACCAUGGUUGCAACGGGUGACGGAGAAUUAGGGUUCGAUUCCGGAGAGGGAGCCUGAGAAACGGCUACCACAUCCAAGGAAGGCAGCAGGCGCGCAAAUUACCCAAUCCCGACUCGGGGAGGUAGUGACAAUAAAUAACAAUGCCGGGCUAUCGUAGUCUGGCAAUUGGAAUGAGUACAACCUAAACCCCUUAACGAGGAACAAUUGGAGGGCAAGUCUGGUGCCAGCAGCCGCGGUAAUUCCAGCUCCAAUAGCGUAUAUUAAAGUUGUUGCAGUUAAAAAGCUCGUAGUUGGAUUUCGGGGCAGUCCGUCUGGUCCGCCGCGAGGCGAGCACUGGUCGGGCGCCCUUCCUCUCGAAGGCCCCGACUGCUCUUGGUUGCAGUGGUCGGGGAGUUCGGGACGUUUACUUUGAAAAAAUUAGAGUGUUCAAGGCAGGCCGUCGCCUGAAUACAUUAGCAUGGAAUAAUGAAAGAGGACCUCGGUCCUAUUUUGUUGGUUUCCAGGGCCGAAGUAAUGAUUAAGAGGGACAGUUGGGGGCAUUCGUAUUUAAUUGUCAGAGGUGAAAUUCUCGGAUUUAUGAAAGACGAACAACUGCGAAAGCAUUUGCCAAGGAUGUUUUCAUUAAUCAAGAACGAAAGUUGGGGGUUCGA
rnacentral:rRNA from 1 species